rnacentral:lncRNA from 1 species
CUGCCUUGGGCACAAUGGCCUAGCCCCAGGGGCUCAGAGUCAAGCCAGGCUAAACAGGAGGAGUCUGGAGCAUGCACCACUAGUCCCGGCCUGGACCUGGGUGCUUCCCCCAGGACUGACACUUCCCUGUCACUGAAACAGCUUUCUGACCUGCUGAGUCCCAGUCGGUGGUGAGCCGCUCUCUCUGCUCCAGAAUACUAAAUCAAAGGGCGACAGAGCCAGCGGGUGCCAGCAGCCUCAGCACAGCGUCAGAAGGAAGGGACUGCGAGACAGGAAGUGAGACUUUUCUGCCCUGUGAGGAAUGGAAGCAGGAGGAGAAAGAGGAGCAGGAGCUGGAACUGGAGGAGGAGGAAGGGAGACAGGCAGCCAAGGGCGACGCCUGCCUGGGGACAGCCCUCCUCGCCAACAUUAUGACUUCACACAGCCUGGCAGAACAGACAGAAGCCCGUGUGGGUGCCAUCGCGCUGAGACACGAGCCCGACUGUGUCCAGCUUGGAAAAGGGUGGCGGUCAGGGGAGAGGCACACGCAGAGGACGCAGGAAGCCAGCCCAUGUGUGGUUCUUCUCCCAGAGGACGUAGGGACAGCACCCUCGGCAGCGCUGCUGGACUCGGACUGGAGACCAAAGCAGGAUCCACGGAAUGGUUUACCUGGGGCGGAAAGCAGGCACCAUGGACUCUUCCAGAGCAACCCAUGGGACAGCAGCCAGAACUGCCUUGCAAGGCAGCCGACCUGAGCCUCAGUGUACCCAAAUUGCACGAGGGCCUGCAGUGGAGAGAGAUAUUGCUUUGGAUACUUGAUGGGAGAGGGCCUGACCCAGAAUCAAGUGUGUUGCUCUGCCGA